UAAUUUUUAAAGACAUAUUUCAAUGAAAAUAAAUAGGAUUGUAUUAUGGAGACAAAUUGAACAUUUAUGAAUUUUUAAGAUAAAACAUGGUAAUUCAAAGAAAUAUUGACCUUCUAGGAGACCAUUUGAGACUUUAAAUUAAAAUUUAAUUUAAAAUUUAAAAUUUAAAAUGUCCCCAGUCUUCCAGGAGGUACAUUUUUCUCUGCCCUUUGAGAAUACUUUGGUGGGAAAGGGUGAAAGACUACCUUACACCCUUACAUAAACUCUUUUUUUCCCAAAGUGUUCUGUUUAUUGAUCUGUGUAGAAAUUGUGAGUAUUGAUACCUUUGUUCUUGUGCGAUUUCGAUCUGGAAUGUCAUCCUUCUUUUGUACUUCAAGGCCAUCAAAUUCUUCAAGUCCCACCUAUAUUCAGCCUGUUUCCUGAGUCCUUUCCUGACAGUAAUCCUUGAUACUGGUUUUUGGUCCUUAUUGGUUAUUCCUUGCGUUAAGUACUAGUUUAAAAAAAUUUUUUUUCUUUAAUGUUUGUUACUUUUGAGAAACAGAGAGAGCAUGAGUGGGGGAGGGGCAGGGAGAGAGAGGGAGACACAGAAUCUGAAGCAGGCUCUAGGCUUUGAGCUGUCAGCACAGAGCCCGAUGUGGGGCUCAAACUCACAAACCAUGAGAUCAUGACCUGAGCCGAAGUUGGAUGCUUAACAACUGAGCCACCCAGGCACCCCUAAGUACUAUUUUUAAUAGCUAAAAUUUAUUGAGAGUGUAUUACGUGUCUGGUAUAUUUCUAAUAUUUUCCCCAUAUUAACUGAUAUAAAUCUUACCAACUUCAUGAGUCAAAUCAAUUUUCCCCCUUCUCCAACAAUCUCAACACCUGGAAGGUAUUAUUUUUCUUUUUCACAAGGAAAUUGAGGCAUAGUGAGGGUUAAUAGUUUGUCUAGGGUUGCAGGCCUAGCAAAUGACUAAAGAAAAGGAGGUAAAAUGACUCCAUUAUUGAUGCAUUUAACCAUUAUGCUCUCCUCCCUUCCCAGUUGCUUAAUAAAUAAUUAAUUGUUCAAGGACUGAAUCCACUAUUUUGACACUUAGCCAACACAAACUUGUGCUGUUGUUUUAUGGGUGUGUCCUCUUGCCUAACUACGUAGUACAUCCAUGAAGGUAGGGAUCAAAUAUUAUACUUUUUUAUAAUGUAACUUUGUACUUUAGGUAGAUCCACUGCAUAUAAUAAGUACCUGGUAGAUGUUUAUUGAUAAGGGUCUGAUAGUGACGUAAACCUUAUAAUUCAUUGUCAAAUGGAUCUAAGCAUUUUCAUACUAAGUAGUCAUCUGAUGGCUUGGAUACUCUAGCAUCACAGAUAACAUUGAGAUUUCCUGGUUCUGGGGCUGUGGGGCUUGGCUAGAUCUGGAGAAUUACAUUGGUAGAAAGGUAUGCCUAGGAAUUAGAUUUCUGGCCUGAACUUAAAUUACGACCUUUGACAAGUCAUUUUGGUUUAUCACCUGUAUAAAGGGGAAAAUCUAACUUAGCCUUUAUUUUUUUAAUCAUGGUCUUUGUAUAUCUUUUAAGCUUUCUGGAAGAAAAGUUGUAUGCAUUCAAAGUAGUAUCAUAUUCUCAUUCUUAGUUGUAAUAACUUCUAUACCAUUAUGUUGGUACAUAUUCAAAAGGGUGUAUUAUCAGCAUAGCUAUGCUUUUAUUUUUAGAAUGAGAAAUUUAAGAUUAAGAAACAAAGUUCUUUUUUGGGGGGUUUGGUUUGAGAGUGCAUUAUGAACACAUGCAAGCAGGAGAGGGGCAGAGGGAGAGGAAGAGAGAGAAUCUUUUUUAAAUUAAAAAAAAAUUUUUUUUAAUUUAAAUUUUAGCUAACAUACAGUGUAAUAUUGGUUUCAGGAAUAGAAUUCAGUGAUUCAUAACAUACAUACAACACCCAGUGCUCAUCACAAGUGUUGUCCUUAAUAUCCAUUACCUAUCUAGCCCAUCUCCCACCCACCUCCCUCCAUCAACCCUCAGUUUGUUCUCUGUUAAGAGUCUCUUGUGGUUUCCCUCUCUCUCCUCUCCCUUCUCCCACCCCCAUAUGUUCAACUGUUUUAUUUCUUAACUUCCACAUACAAGUGAAAUCAUAUGGUAUUUGUUUUUGUGACUGACUUAUUUCACUUAGCAUAAUACAUUCAAUAGAGCUCUGUCCAUGUCAUUGCAAAUGGCAUGAUUUCAUUUUUUGUGAUGACUGAGUGAUAUUCCAUUGUAUGUAUAUACCACAUCUUCUUUAUCCAUUCAUCAGUUGUUGGACAUUUGGGCUCUCUCCAUAGUUUGGCUAUUAUUGAUAAUGUUGCUAUAAACAUUGGGGGUUCAUGUACCCCUUUGAAUCUGUUUUUUGGUAUCCUUUGGCUAAGUAUGUAAUAGUGCAGUUGCUGAAUCAUAGAGUAGUUCUAUUUUUAGUUUUUUGAGGAACCUUCAUACUGUUCUCCAGAGUGGCUGCACCAGUUUGCAUUCCCACCAACAGUACAGAAGGGUUCCCUUUUUUCUACAUUCUCACCAACACUUGUUACUUCUUGUCUUCUUUUAUAAUAGUUAUUCUAACAGGUGUGAGGUGGUAUCUAAUUAUGGUUUGUAUUUCCCUGAUGAUGAAUAAUGUUGAGCAUCAUUUCAUGUGUCUGUUAGCCAUCUGGAUGUCUUCUUUGGAAAAGUGUUAAUCAUGUUUACUGCUCCUUUUUUUUUUUAUCUUUUUGUUAACAUUCAUUUUUGAGAGACAGAGAGAGAGUGCAAGAGGGGGAGGGGAAGAGAGAGAGGGAGACAGAAUUUGAAGCAGGCUCCAGGCUCUUAGCUGUUAACACAGAGCCCGACUCAGGGCUCGAACCCAUGAACCAUGAGAUCAUGACCUGAGCUGAAGUCGGAUGCUUAACCGACUGAACCACCCAGGUGCCCCAAUUCUGCCCAUUUCUUAACUGGGUUAUUUGUUUUUGGGUGUUGAGUUUGAUAAGUUCUUUAUAGAUUUUGGAUACUAAAUCUUUAUCAGAUAUGUCAUUUGCAAAUAUCUUUCAUUCUGUAGUCUGCCUUUUAGUUUUGUUGAAGAGAGAAGGAAUCUUUAGCAGGCUGCAUACCCAGCACAGAGCCUGAUGCAGGGCUCGAUCUUAGGACCUGUGAGAUCACGAUCUGAGUUGAAACCAAGAGUUAGAUGCUUAACCAACUAAGCUACCCAGGCAUCCCUGUACCAAUUUUUUAAAAUGCUGAAAAUAAUACAUUUUUACUGGGCAAAAUUACUAUAUUCUACAAACUUUUGAAGAGAUGCUGGGGGACUAUGUCUUAUUAUUAUUUGUAUACUCCAUCUGUCAUAGAGCCUUAUCAUAUCCUUAUAAUACAAUAUUAUAUAUUAUAUUAUUCUUUUUUGUUGUUUUUUUUGUUAUAUUAUUCUUGAUAGAAUUAAAGUGUUAAGGAAAAGUCCGUACCAUAUAUAAAGUUUGUAAUUAUAGUGAUAUAGAAAAGUUAAACUGAUAAGCAUCAGUUAUAUUGAAAGGAAAUUGUAUGCAAUUUUGGAAAAAGAAAAAUUAACAGCCUUUGUAACAACUCAAGCUAUCUGGAAUGAUCAAACUUGGAAGAAACCUUAAAUAUUUUAUAAAUGAGUAUUCAAGUUUCCCCAUAUAAAGGACAGUUAGAACAGUAACUUAUGUUUUCUGGUUGCCAAUGUAGGUCUAAUUAAAUCAUCAUGUCUUUAAUAAGAGACUUUUAUGUGGUCAGGCAUAGCUUUAUCUUUUUAAAGAAAUGUAUUCUAGAGUACAAGAGUUAUAUUUGUAAGAAAAAUAACUUUUUGUGGUAAUUGCUGGAUUUAUCAUUUAAGGAAGUGUAUUCUAGGAAAAAAAGCAUUUCUGCCUUGAUCUUAGGGGAUGUAGGUAGUUUUUCACAGUGCUUUCACAUAUGUCUCUCAUUUGAGUAACAUUUCUGGGAGAGAGUUAAUUUAGCUAUUAUUGCUUUUAUUGGUAAGAUAAUUGAAGACAGUUUGUUUUUGAAAGGUCAUUUAGGUAGUAUAUAAUUUUAGAUGCUUUUGUUUGUAAAUAAUAGGAAACUCAACUCAGACUAUCUUAAAGAAUUUAUUGACCUGUUACUGACAAGUACAGCCAGUAGAUUAGGAUUGAUCCAGUAGUCCAAUAGUAUAACCAUUGUUUUGUUUUCUUUCUAUAUCUUGAUUUCUGUUUUCUCUUCACAGUGCUAAGUUUGCAUCUAGGUGAAUAAAAUGGAUGCUUUCUUUUAUAGGCUUAGAGGGAAUGACAGAAACCCAAAAGAUACAAAAACACUAAUUUGAAAGGAUAUGUACACCCAUAUGUUUGUUGCAGCAUUAUUUACAAUAGCCACAUUAUGGAAGCAGCCCUAGUGCCCAUCGAUAGAUGAAUGGAUAAAGAAGAUGUGGUAUAUGUAUACAAUGGAAUAUUACUCAGCCAUAAAAAAGAAUGAAAUUUUGCCAUUUGCAACAAUAUGGAUGUAGCUGGAGAGUAUAGUGCUAAUCAAAAUAAGUCAGAGAAAGACAAAUACAAUAUGAUUUUACUCAUAUAUGGAAUUUCAGAACCAAAACGAAUGAAUAAAGGAAAGAGAGAGAGAGAGAAACCGAAAAACAGACUCUUAAUUAUAGAGAACAAACAGAUGGUUAACAGAGGGGAGGUGGGUAGGGAAUGGGUGAAAUAGGCAAAGGGGAUUAAGAGUACACUUAUCUUGGUGAGCACUGAGUGAUAUAAAUAAUUCUUGAAUUACUGUAUUGUAAACCUGAAACUGAUAGUAAUACUACAUAUUAACUAUACUAGAAUUAAAGUUAAAAAGAAAAAUAAAGGGAAUGAUGGAAAGCUUUUUUCCUUGCUUUUCUCUCUCCUCAUAUCUCAUUGGGACAUAGUAGGUUGCUUGCUUAUCCUGAUUGUUAAAGAGGAUUUACUGUAAAGAUUUACUGAUCGGAUUAAGCCAGUCAGUGAGCACCUCUUGAUUUGGGAGUGAGAUCACAUUCAUCCAAAUUGUUGACUGAGAAAUUCAGUUUUAUUCGUUUAUAAUUGGAGAAGGUUUGCCUUGAUAACUGGAGAGGCAAACAAAAGAUACCUCCUCUGCGAAAGCUAAUGUUAGAGUAAGAAUCCAGGUUUUCAUUCUUUGCUGAAAAUGAUAAAUGAAUACAUAAAACUUGACCUUAUUCUAGGAACAUAUAACUUCAGUUUCUAAAUUUUUUUGAUAUGAAAUUCAUAUUGCAUAAAAUUAACCAUUUUAAAGUGAGCAAUUCAGUGCCAUUUUAUAUCCACCACCUCUGUCUACUGCCAAAACAUUUUCAUCACCACAAAAGAAAACCCUCUAUACCCACUCUCCAUUUUCCCCUCCUCUCCAGAACCUGGUAAUGGCUAAUCUGUUUCCUGUCUCUGUGAAUUUACCUAUUCUGGAUAUUUUAUAUAAAUGGUAUCAUAUAAUAUACAACCUUUUGUGUCUGCCUCCUUUCACUUAGCAUGAUGUUUUCAAGGUUCAUCCAAAUUGUAACAUGCAUCGAUAUUUCAUUCUUUUUUAUGGCUGAAUAAUUCUACUGUAUGUAUAUACCACAGUUUGUUUCUCCAUUCAUUCAUAUGUUGGUAGACAUCUGGGUUCUUUCCUCCUCUUGGUUAUUGUCAGUAGUACUGCUACAAACAUGUUUGUAUAUGCAUUGGAUUUAGUACUUAUUUUCAGACCCUGUGAGUAUAUACCUAGGAGUGGAAUUGGUGGGGAAUGUGGUAAUUCUAUGUUUAACUUUUUGAUAAACCAACAAAAUGUUUUCCACAGCAGCUGAACCAUUUUUCAUUCCUACCAGCAAUGUAUGAGGGUUCUAGUUUCUCCAUAUCCUCACCCAGGGAGAGAGAGUGACAGAGGAUAUGAAGUAGGCUCUGCACUAACAGCAGCAAGCCCUGAUGCAGGGCUUGAACCCAUGAAUUUUAGGUUAAGAAUACUGCACUGUGGGCAUCUAACUUCGGCUCGGGUCAUGAUCUCACAGUUUGUGAGUUUGAGCCCUACAUUGGGCUUUCUGCUGUCAGCACAGAGCCCGCUUUGUAUACUCUGUUCGCCCCACUGCUCCCCUGCUCCCUCUUUCUCCCAAGAAUAAACAUUAAAAAAAAACUGCACUGUUAUUCACUGGUGUUUUAUGUCGAAUGAGUAGUAAAUUUUGUUUCACCUUAAAGUUUCAGAAAGCUGUUUUGUACUUUGUCAUAAAAAUAAUGCUUCAUAUUUGAAAAUAAACAGGUCAUUGUUAAUAUUCAGAUUAUCUUUAGAAUUAAUUCCAAAACAGCAGUGAGCAAGUGUGAAGAAAUAGUUCAUUUUAUCUUAAAUUCUUGAAGAUCAACAGUGGUUUUAUUUUUUUUUGCCAGCUAUGGUAUCUUUUUGAAAGAAACAAAUUUUUCUUCAAAACUUUGAUAAGGUAAGCCCAGGUGUCAGCUACAACUUACUGAGGUUUUCUUCUUCAUGCUGAGUUCUAACUUCUUAGGUAUUUCCAUCCUUAGCAUAGGUCUUUGUAUGAAAAAAAAUUUUUAAUUCUGUUGGCUAUAUAUAUUUGAAUAAUUGGACAAAUCACUAAGCUAGUUUUUAUUAAUGGAGUUAGUAAACUUAUCGUCUCAUAUUCUAACAAGAAUACUUAUCAGGGGGUGCCUGGGUGGCUCAGUUGGUUAAGCGUCCUACUUCAUUCAGCUCAGGUCAUGAUCUCGCCAUUUGUGGGUUUGAGCACUUUGUCACGUUCUGUGCUGACAGCUCAGAGCCUGGAGCCUGUUUCAGAUUCUGUGUCUCCCUCUCUCUCUACCCCUUUUUAGCUUGUGCUCUGUCUCUGUCUCUCUCAAAAAUAAAUAAUAAACAUUAAAAAAAUACUUAUCAGAAGUAAUGCUUAUUUGUAUUCAAUGUUAAAAUUUUUUUUCUAGAGGUAAUUAUUUUUAAUUAUACUUUUAAUGGUUUUUGAGACAUACUUUUCCCAUAAAUACUUUUACUAGAAUAUGCUUAUGGUGUCAGUGAAAAUGGAAAAAUAAUGCACUAAUUUUAUAGAAAUAUCAGAAUCCAAGAUGUUGGAAGUUGCUGAAUAAGUGCAAAAUAUUAUUGUGUCUGCACAAUUUAAGAAUUAUCUGGUCAGAUGGAAAAGAAUUGAUAAAUGUAGAGAUAUAGCUAACAAUCAUUGAACAUUUACUAUAAGCCAGACACUGGUUUAAAUUCUUUUAUAUGUAAUAACUUAUUUCAUUAAGUCGAUUUUUAAAAGGCUUGAAUUUUCUUUUUAUUAGUGUUUGAAAAUAAUUGUCUCUACCAUUCAAAAGUAAAAAUUAAUUACAAAUUUAAAAUAUGACAUGGGUUUUAAAACAAUCUGAGGUAUAGUUCUCAAGCUUGUCUAUUAUUUUAUUGAUUGAGCUUCUCUAGGACUUAUUGGUACUUAAAAUGAUUAAUUGAAAAUGUUAAUGAGCAAAUGUUGGUAUACUUUGCCUUCCUGAAACAAAAAUGUUAAGAUUAUUUUUUCAUAGUCUUAAUUUUUUUAGAGCAGUUUUACAUUUAUAACAAGAAUUGAGAGGAAAGUGCAGAGAUUUCUCACCUACCCAUUAUCAAUAUCAUUCACCACUAACGUACAUUUUUUUUUUUUACCAGAGAUGAACCUACAUUGACACAUCAUUAUCACCCAAAGUCCAUAGUUUAUUUUAGGGUUCAAUUUUGAUAUUGUGUAUUCUAUGGGUUUGGACAAAAGUAUGAUGACAUAUCCAUCAUUAUAAUACCAUAUAGCGUAUUUUCACUGCUCUAAAAAUCUGUGCUCAGCCCAAUUCUCCCCUGUCUCCCCUCUCCCCAGCCAACCACAAUCUCUGAUCUUUUUAUUGUCUUGAAUUUUGAUUAUAGAAUGUUAUAUAGUUGGAAUCAUAUACUGUGUAGGCUUUUCAGAUUGACUUUUUUUCACUUAGUACUAUGCAUUUAAGUUUCCUGCAAGUCUUUUCUUGAUAGCUCUUUUCUUUUUAGUAUUGAGUAAUAUUUUAUUGUCUGGAUAUACCAGUUUAUGUAUCUGUUCACACACUGAAGGAUAUUUGGGUUGCUUCCAAGUUUUGGCAAUAAUGAAUAAAGCUGCUAUAAACACCAUGUGCAGUUUUUCGUGUGGACAUAAAUUUCUACCUCCUUUGGGUAAAUACCAAGGAGGGUAAUUGUUGUAAGAGUAUGCUUUAUUUCCUUACUGAUUUUCUGCCUGCUGUAUCUGUCCAUUUCUGACAGAACAGUGUGAAAGUCUCCAAAUAUAAUAGUGGAUCCAUCUAUUUCUCUUUGCAGUUCUGUCAGUUUUUGCUUCAUAUAUAUAUAUAUAUAUAUAUAUAUAUAUAUAUAUAUUUAUAGAGAAUAUGAGCCUGUGAGGGGUGGGGCAGAGAGAGAGAGGGAGAGAGAGAAUCCCAAGUAGACUCCACAUUGUUAGCACAGAGCCCAAUGUGGGACUCAAACUCGUGAACAAUGAGACCAUGACCUGAUCUGAAAUCAAGAGUCAGAUACUUAGUCAACUGAGCCACCUAGGUGCCCUUGUCUCACAUUGUUGUCUUCUUAAAGCAUUGACCCCAUCAUUAUUAUGUAAUGUUCUGCUUUAUCCCUGAUAACUUUCCUUGCUCUGAAGUCUGCUAUGUCUGAAAUUACUCCUGUUUUCUUUUGAUUAGUGUUAGCACAAUAUAUUUUUCUCUACUUACUUAUUUUUAAUAUGUCUUUGUAUUUAAAGUGGGUUUCUUGUAGAUAACAUGUAGUUGGGCCUUGUUUUUUGAUCCAGUAUGACAAUCUCUGUCUUUUACUUGGUGCAUUCAGAUUACUGACAUUCAAAUUGAUUACUAAUAUUCUUGAAUUAAUAUCUACUAUGUUCAUUACUAUUUUCUAUUUGUUGUUUUUGUUCUUUGUUCUUAUUUUGUCUUUUUCUGUCUGUUGCAGUUUUCUAAACAAUUUUUAUGUCUGUCUGUCUGUAUGUAUGUAUAUCUGUUUAAAUUCCAGUGUAGUUAACAUAUGGUAUUAUAUUAGUUUCAGGUGCAUAAUAUAGUAAUUCAGCAGUUCUGUAUAUUACUUAGUGUUCAUCAAGUUGAAUGCACUCUUUUUAAAAAAAUUUUUUUAAUUUUUAAUUUUUAAAAAUUUACAUCCAAAUUAGUUAACAUAUAGUGCAACAAUGAUUUCAGGAGUAGAUUCCUUAAUGUCCCUUACCCAUUUAGCCCAUUCCCCCCCUCCAGUAACCCUCAGUUUGUUCUCCAUAUUUAUGAGUCUCUUCUGUUUUUUCUCCCUCCCUGUUUUUAUAUUAUUUUUGUUUCCCUUCCCUUAUGUUCAUCUGUUUUGUCUCUUAAAGUCCUCAUAUGAGUGAAGUCAUGAUUUUUGUCUUUCUCUAAUUUCACUUAGCAUAAUACCCUCCAGUUCCAUCCACAUAGUUGCAAAUGGUGAAUGCACUCUUAAAGCCUUUCACCCAUUUCAUCCAUACCUCUACCCAUCUCCCCUCUGGGGACCAUUAUUCUGUAUAGUUAAGAGUCUGUUUUUUGGUUUGUCUCUCUGUCCCUUUUUCUUUCUUUUGUUCACUUGUUUUGUUUCUUAAAUUCCACAGAUGAGUGAAAUCAUAUGGUAUUUGUCUUUCUCUUAUUUUGCUUAGCAUUAUAUUCUCUAGGUCCAUCCAUAUUGUUUGUAAAUGGCAAGAUUUCAUUCUUUUUUAUGGUGGAGUAAUAUCCCGUUGUAUAUGUAUAUACCACAUCUUCUUUCUCCAUUCAUCAGUUGAUGAACACUUGGGUUCUUUCCAUAAUUUGGCUAUUGUAGGUAAUGCUGCUAUAACAUAGAGGUGCAUGUACCCUUUGAAUUAUGAUUUUUGUACUCUUUGGAUAAAUACCUAGUAGUAGCAGUUGCUGAUCAUAGAGUAGUUCUAUUUUUAACUUUCUGAGGAACCUCCAUACUGUUUUCCACAGUGGCUGCACCAAUUUGCAUUUCCACUAGCAGUGCACAAGGGUUCCUUUUUCUCCACAUCCUCACCAACACUUAUUGUUUCUUGUGUUGUUGAUUUUAGUCAUUUGACAGGUGUGUGGUGAUAUCUCAUUGUAGUUUUGAUUUGCAUUUCCCUGAUCAGUGAUGUUGAGUAUCUUUUCAUGUGUCUGUUGGCCAUGUAAUGUUUUCUUUGAUAAAAUAUCUAUUCAUGUCUUUUGCCCAUUUAAAAAUUAAAAAAAAUUUUU